rnacentral:rRNA from 1 species
CCCUACGGGGGGCAGCAGUGGGGGAUAUUGCACAAUGGGGGGAACCUUGAUGCAGCGACGCCGCGUGGGUGAAGAAGCGCCUCGGCGCGUAAAGCCCUGUCAGCAGGGAAGAAAAUGACGGUACCUGAAGAAGAAGCCCCGGCUAACUACGUGCCAGCAGCCGCGGUAAUACGUAGGGGGCAAGCGUUAUCCGGAUUUACUGGGUGUAAAGGGGGCGCAGACGGCGAUGCAAGCCAGGAGUGAAAGCCCGGGGCCCAACCCCGGGACUGCUCUUGGAACUGCGUGGCUGGAGUGCAGGAGGGGCA